GACGAACGCUGGCGGCGUGCCUAAUACAUGCAAGUUGAGCGCUGAAGGUUGGUACUUGUACCAACUGGAUGAGCAGCGAACGGGUGAGUAACGCGUGGGGAAUCUGCCUUUGAGCGGGGGACAACAUUUGGAAACGAAUGCUAAUACCGCAUAAAAACUUUAAACACAAGUUUUAGGUUUGAAAGAUGCAAUUGCAUCACUCAAAGAUGAUCCCGCGUUGUAUUAGCUAGUGGGGGAGGUAAAGGCUCACCAAGGCGAUGAUACAUAGCCGACCUGAGAGGGGGAUCGGCCACAUUGGGACUGAGACACGGCCCAAACUCCUACGGGAGGCAGCAGUAGGGAAUCUUCGGCAAUGGACGAAAGUCUGACCGAGCAACGCCGCGUGAGUGAAGAAGGUUUUCGGAUCGUAAAACUCUGUUGGUAGAGAAGAACGUUGGUGAGAGUGGAAAGCUCAUCAAGUGACGGUAACUACCCAGAAAGGGACGGCUAACUACGUG
rnacentral:rRNA from 1 species